rnacentral:lncRNA from 1 species
AAAAAAAACACAGCAUAUGUGACCUCAACAUCAAUUUUUUAUCCUAAAGGGGGACCAAUCUACAAUUAUUUCUACAUCAUAUAAUUCAUAUUUAAAAAUUGCAGCAUCAACCUUGCUAGCCAAGCAUUGUUUCAAUUUCACGUGCAACGAACCAAUUAAAGCAUAUAUCACCUUAACUAGUCUUCUCUUACAGUAGACCUCUGGCAAUCAUUUCACGUAGUAGUUUCUCUGCCCUUUCGUUCUUAUCAUUUUCAAAGAGAGUGCGAAUAAUUGUUUCACAAGUUACAGCAUCAGGAACACAUCCAUUGUCUUCCAUUUUUGACAGCAGGGUCUCAGCUUCAUUAAGCAAACCCUCUAAUCAAAGACCUUUGAUCAUAAUAGUAUAUGUCCAGACUGUUAAAUUGUAGCCUUUAAUCAAAAGAUCCUGAAAAAUCACUUGUGCAUCCUUAAGCCUUCCUUGUUUGCACAGUCCAUCGAUAAGUAUAUUGUAUGUGUACAUAUCUAGUUGAAUGCCUUGGUCUUUAAUUUUCUUGACUAAUGCAAUAGCCUUGUCAACAUGAUGGUUUUUGCAUAAAGCAUCUAUUAAUGAAUUGUAAGUGAUUAUAUCAGCUGGUUGACCAUUAUCACGCAUCUCAUCAACAAGCUCCCAAGCAUAGGAGAUUCUCCCAGAUUUGCACAAACCAUCAAUUAGAGAAUUGUAAGUUACCGUAUCAGGAGCAAUUCUUCUGCAACACAUUUCAUAAAAGAGACUCAAGGCUUUGUCGACCAUUUUAAUCUUACAGAAUCCAUUAAUCACGAUACUAUAGCUACGAGCAUUGGGAGCCACUCUCAUUCGAGAUAUAAUACUUAACACAUGUUUAGCCUUAUUAACUUCAUUAACAAGACAAUAUCCAUCCAUUAAUGAACUGUAGGUAACAACAUCUGGCAUCACACCUUCUUUCAUCAUCACAGCUAUCCCACUUUUAGCUUCUUUGAUCUUUCCUUCCUUACAUAGAGCGUCAACCAAUAUGUUAAAAGUAUACACAUCUGGGUUGAUGUUUUUCAAUACCAUUUCACGGAGCAAACCAAAUGCUUCUUUGAAUUGACCAACAAUGCAAUAUCCAUAGAUUAGAGAAUUGAGAGUGACAACAGUAGGAGAAAUUCUCUUUGUAAUCAUUUCAGAAUAUAACUCAUAUGCAUCAUUUACAAGUUUAUCUUUGCACAAACCAUCAAUGAUUGUACUAUACAUUACAACAUUGGUGCUGACCAAUUUCCCUUCGAUCUGUCUCAACAUUUGCAACGCCGCUCUUGUUUCCCCUAUUUUACACAACCCAUUGAUCAAGGUCCCGUAG